ensembl:lncRNA
AUGCAGGAGGAACUCGGCGAGUAUUUCCACUCUAAGGGACAGGGGGCAGCACUUCGCAGGUUUACUCUUGGAUGCAAAGGACAGGGGGUAAGAGGACAUUUGAACAUACAACCAGGCAAUAAAAGAAGAGGUAUAUUCUUAGUUAUGAUGUCCAGGUUCGAGCUUUGGAGAACCAUGCCCCGGAGAGUGCAGUUCCUAGGUGAAUUUCAGAUCCCUUCAGUCCGUCCGCGUGGACUUCACCCAGGACACGGAACCAGGCACACGGAGCGGAGGACUGACCGGGCCAGGAGCUCCUGGGCCCUCUGCCUAAGGCUUCUGCUCCUCACUGUCUCCCGCCAAAGUCACGCCUCCUUGCAAAUGCGGAUGAAGAGUCUGGGAAGACGUGUCUGUCCUAACCUGAUGAUUGGGUGCUGACUUGAUGUCCCUGCAAUAUCUUUUUUUUUUUUAAGUUUAUUUGAGGGGGGAAGCACGAGUGAGGGAGGGGCAGAGAGAGAGGAAGAGAGAGAGUCCCAAGCAGGCUCCCUGCUGUCAGCGUGGAGCCGAACACGGGGCUCUAUCCCACGCCCCUGGGGUCAUGACCUGAGCCAAACUCAAGAGUCAGAUGCUCCACCUACUGAGCCACCCAGGCGCCCUGUCACGGUGACAUCUUGGGCGAACCCUCACUUGAGCGCUACUUCCCUGUCUGCAUCUAUGGUUGAUUGCAUGUGUCUUUCCUCACCUAUGACCUUCUAGAGAGCAGGCAAUAUUUCUUGCUAUCACGAUCUCUUCAGGACCUAAAAUAACACACUGCUUAUAGUACGUGCUCAGUAAAAUGUCUGUUGAGAAAAUGAACUGGAUGGAUGAAUGAACAUACGGACAGCCAGAGUUGGAUGGAUCCAACUGGGGAAAUAAGCCUAGGAUAAAAAUUACUAAGCCUGUAAGGAGCAUCAUAAGGAAGCUUCUUAAAAAGUGUAACAGUUGUUCUAAAGGGUCAGAGACAAUCAAGGUGGAUGCAAGUAAAGAAGAAAAGUUACCUAAAUAACAGGCAUUCAGUGUGAGGGGUAAAAGCAAUGUUAGUUCAUAUCCUGUGAAACUUCAAGUCACAAAAAAAUUAGAAAUAACCUGGAUUUUUAUCCUGACAGUGAAGAAUCUUAAUUUUUUUUAAUGUCUAUUUGUGAGAGAGUCAGAGCAUGAGUGGGAGAAGGGCAGAGAACGAGGGAGACACAGAAUCCAGAGCAGGCUCCAGGCUCCAGGAGGUCAGCAUCGAGCCCAACGCAGGGCUCGAACUCAUGAGCUGUGAGAUCAGGACCUGAGCUGAAGUUGGAUGCUCAACCGACUGAGCCACCCAGGCGCCCCCUGACAGUGAGGCAUCUUAGUGACCCCUUUGGUUGUUUGCAUAUAUACCCUUACACGCCAACAAAUAAAAGGCUCUGACUGUAUUCUGGUUGAAGUAAAAGAACAAUAGUGAUGGAUGAAUAUGAAGUUGGAGUUUAAAACCCUGAUUUUUAUUGAGAUAUGACUCUGAUGCACAUCGGAAAUAUUUUGAGCCAUGGAAUUAUAACCAAAGGCCAGAAAGAAGUUCCAAAAAGCCGAAGACCUAUCCUUCUGAAGUUUACAUUUUCAGAGUAGUUUUGCAAAAACAUGAAAUCUUUGAAUUAAAACUAUUCUUCAAAGCCACCUCUGUAACCAUCUUCUCGGAGCAAGAUUUUUCUCUUCAUUAAGCACAGACGUGUCCAAGGCUUGAAUUUCUCAAUUUAAUAAGUCAGUCUAUUCUGUAUUUUGACAACUCUUAUUCUUUGGAAAUCGGUGUUUAUAAUAAUUCCAAACCUGACUCCUUAAUACAUGUACCCGAUGUCCUCUCUA